CGACCUCAGAGCAGGCGAGACUACCCGCUGAAUUUAAGCAUAUUACUAAGCGGAGGAAAAGAAACUAACAAGGAUUCCCCCAGUAGCGGCGAGCGAACAGGGAAGAGUCCAGCACCGAACCCCGCAGGCUGCCGCCUGUCGUGGCAUGUGGUGUUUGGGAGGGUCCACUACCCCGACGCCUCGCGCCGAGCCCAAGUCCAACUUGAAUGAGGCCACGGCCCGUAGAGGGUGCCAGGCCCGUAGCGGCCGGUGCGAGCGUCGGCGGGACCUCUCCUUCGAGUCGGGUUGCUUGAGAGUGCAGCUCCAAGUGGGUGGUAAACUCCAUCUGAGACUAAAUAUGACCACGAGACCGAUAGCGAACAAGUACCGUGAGGGAAAGUUGAAAAGAACUUUGAAGAGAGAGUUCAAAAGUACGUGAAACCGUUCUGGGGUAAACGUGAGAAGUCCGAAAGGUCGAACGGGUGAGAUUCACGCCCAUCCGGCCACUGGCCUCCGCCCUCGGCAGAUGGGGCCGGCCGCCCGCGCGGAGCAAUCUGCGGCGGGGUCGUGUCCGGUUGCCUUUCCACUCGCCGCGGGGUGGGGCCGUUCCGGUGUGCGGUGGGCCGCACUUCUCCCCUAGUAGGACGUCGCGACCCGCUGGGUGCCGGCCUACGGCCCGGGUGCGCAGCCUGUCCUUCCGCGGGCCUCGGUUCGCGUCUGUUGGGCAGAGCCCCGGUGUCCUGGCUGGCUGCCCGGCGGUAUAUCUGGAGGAGUCGAUUCGCCCCUUUGGGCGCUCGGGCUCCCGGCAAGCGCGCGCGGUUCUUCCCGGAUGACGGACCUACCUGGCCCGGCCCCGGACCCGCGCCGCUGUUGGCUCGGGAUGCUCUCGGGCGGAAUAAUCGCUCCCGUCAGCGGCGCUUCAGCUUUGGACAAUUUCACGACCCGUCUUGAAACACGGACCAAGGAGUCUAACAUGUGCGCGAGUCAUUGGGCUGUACGAAACCUAAAGGCGUAAUGAAAGUGAAGGUCUCGCCUUGCGCGGGCCGAGGGAGGAUGGGGCUUCCCCGCCCUUCACGGGGCGGCGGCCUCCGCACUCCCGGGGCGUCUCGUCCUCAUUGCGAGGUGAGGCGCACCUAGAGCGUACACGUUGGGACCCGAAAGAUGGUGAACUAUGCCUGGCCAGGACGAAGUCAGGGGAAACCCUGAUGGAGGUCCGUAGCGAUUCUGACGUGCAAAUCGAUCGUCGGAGCUGGGUAUAGGGGCGAAAGACUAAUCGAACCAUCUAGUAGCUGGUUCCCUCCGAAGUUUCCCUCAGGAUAGCUGGUGCUCGUACGAGUCUCAUCCGGUAAAGCGAAUGAUUAGAGGCCUUGGGGCCGAAACGACCUCAACCUAUUCUCAAACUUUAAAUGGGUGAGAUCUCCGGCUUGCUUGAUAUGCUGAAGCCGCGAGCAAACGACUCGGAUCGGAGUGCCAAGUGGGCCACUUUUGGUAAGCAGAACUGGCGCUGUGGGAUGAACCAAACGCCGAGUUAAGGCGCCCGAAUCGACGCUCAUGGGAAACCAUGAAAGGCGUUGGUUGCUUAAGACAGCAGGACGGUGGCCAUGGAAGUCGGAAUCCGCUAAGGAGUGUGUAACAACUCACCUGCCGAAGCAACUAGCCCUGAAAAUGGAUGGCGCUGAAGCGUCGUGCCUAUACUCGGCCGUCAGUCUGGCAGUCAUGGCCGGUCCUUGCGGCCGGCCGCGAAGCCCUGACGAGUAGGAGGGUCGCGGCGGUGGGCGCAGAAGGGUCUGGGCGUGAGCCUGCCUGGAGCCGCCGUCGGUGCAGAUCUUGGUGGUAGUAGCAAAUACUCCAGCGAGGCCCUGGAGGGCUGACGCGGAGAAGGGUUUCGUGUGAACAGCCGUUGCACACGAGUCAGUCGAUCCUAAGCCCUAGGAGAAAUCCGAUGUUGAUGGGGGCCGUCAUAGCAUGAUGCGCUUUGUGCUGGCCCCCGUUGGGCGAAAGGGAAUCCGGUUCCUAUUCCGGAACCCGGCAGCGGAACCGAUACAAGUCGGGCCCCUCUUUUAGAGAUGCUCGUCGGGGUAACCCAAAAGGACCCGGAGACGCCGUCGGGAGAUCGGGGAAGAGUUUUCUUUUCUGCAUGAGCGUUCGAGUUCCCUGGAAUCCUCUAGCAGGGAGAUAGGGUUUGGAACGCGAAGAGCACCGCAGUUGCGGCGGUGUCCCGAUCUUCCCCUCGGACCUUGAAAAUCCGGGAGAGGGCCACGUGGAGGUGUCGCGCCGGUUCGUACCCAUAUCCGCAGCAGGUCUCCAAGGUGAAGAGCCUCUAGUCGAUAGAAUAAUGUAGGUAAGGGAAGUCGGCAAAUUGGAUCCGUAACUUCGGGAUAAGGAUUGGCUCUGAGGAUCGGGGCGUGUCGGGCUUGGUCGGGAAGUGGGUCAGCGCUAACGUGCCGGGCCUGGGCGAGGUGAGUGCCGUAGGGGUGCCGGUAAGUGCGGGCGUUUAGCGCGGGCGUGGUCUGCUCUCGCCGUUGGUCGGCCUCGUGCUGGUCGGCGGUGCAGGAUGCGCGCGCCUGCGCGGCGUUCGCGCCCCGGUGCUUCAACCUGCGUGCAGGAUCCGAGCUCGGUCCCGUGCCUUGGCCUCCCACGGAUCUUCCUUGCUGCGAGGCCGCGUCCGCCUUAGCGUGCUCCUCCGGGGGCGCGCGGGUGCGCGGAUUCUCUUCGGCCGCCAUUCAACGAUCAACUCAGAACUGGCACGGACUGGGGGAAUCCGACUGUCUAAUUAAAACAAAGCAUUGCGAUGGCCCUAGCGGGUGUUGACGCAAUGUGAUUUCUGCCCAGUGCUCUGAAUGUCAACGUGAAGAAAUUCAAGCAAGCGCGGGUAAACGGCGGGAGUAACUAUGACUCUCUUAAUCAAGAGUUCCCUGGAAUCCUCUAGCAGGGAGAUAGGGUUUGGAACGCGAAGAGCACCGCAGUUGCGGCGGUGUCCCGAUCUUCCCCUCGGCCGCGCCAACCAUCGAAGCGGCCGCCUGCCGCGCCGCCGACGCAGAAGCGCAAGCGGCGCCGCUGGGAGUACGCGAGAACGCAGGAUGCCUUCCGACGGUCGCGUGCACGUUGCGUGCGCGGCCUCUUGGAUGGCACCCUGCUCCAGCCGCCACCUGCCAUCCCUGGUCUGCUGGACUUCUGGGCGGACCUCUUCACCAAGAAGCCCAUCUCCACCGCGGGCUUCAUUCGUGACCGCCUCCUCCCGCACUCAGAGCCUGUCGCUCUUGAGUGCAUAUGGGGGCCGGUCACACAUGAGGAGGUCGCCGCCGCGUUGCCGCCCAGGGGAUCAGCAGCCGGGCCGGACGGCCUUACCCCAGCGGAGUUGCGGCGCCUGCCGCACGAAGUCCUGGUGAAAGUGAUGAAUCUCUUCCUUCUGGCCCGCGCCCUUCCGGAACGCCUGCUUCGCGCGCGGACGUCCCUUCUCCCGAAAACGGCUGCACCAACAUCCCCCGCUGACUUUCGCCCCAUUACGGUCUGCUCGGUGUUGGCGCGGACCUUUCACAAGGUUCUCGCGUCACGCCUGAUGCGCGCAUGUGCUGUGGACGAACGUCAGCGGGCAUUCAUCCCUCGGGAUGGGAUGUUGGAAAAUACCUUCAUCUUGGACACUGCUCUCACCGACGCAGUUCGCUCCUGCCGCUCUGUCUUUGUGGCGUCGAUCGACGUAUCUAAGGCAUUCGAUUCGGUAGAUCAUGCUGCCCUUCGCCCCGUGCUGAAGGCGCAUGGCCUGCCGGAUUGCUUUGUCGAGUAUGUCGAGCGGUGCUACGAGGGCAGCACGACAGUGAUAGCGGACGGCGCCGGCGUGGGCGUGUCUGUGCAGCCAGCACGGGGCGUUCGCCAGGGCGAUCCCCUCUCCCCCCUCCUGUUCAACUUUGCGGUGGACUACGUUUUAGGCCAACUGCCCUCUCACAUCGGAGCUCGGAUCCUCGGUCGCAGAGUCAACGCUGCGGCCUUUGCAGAUGACGUCUUGCUGUUUGCAGCGACCCCGAGGGGCUUGCAGUCCCUCAUCGACGCAGCUACCGCAGCCCUCGCCCACCUGGGGCUGCAGAUCAACGCCCGGAAGUGUUUCACCCUCGCCUUAGUCGCGUCAGGGCGCGAGAAGAAGGUGAAGGUGGACAGCAAUGUCACCUUCACAGCAGGCAAUACCACCAUGCCUGCCCUGCGUGUGGGUGAAACCUUCCGGUACCUGGGGCUGCAAUUUUCCACGGCGGGUCGCUGUGUCUUCAAUCCACGUAGCCACCUGGUGGAGCAGCUUGACGUCAUCUCCCGAGCUCCGCUGAAGCCGCAACAGCGCCUCCACGCUCUCACCAACAUACUUCUCCCUGGCCUGUACCACGGGCUGGCCCUCAGCCGCACCCGGGUGGGUGCAUUGAAGUCGGCCGACGUUACCAUCCGGGCCGCCGUCAGGAGAUGGUUCCGCCUUCCGGCGGACACCCCCCUGGGAUACUUCCACGCUCCUGUUGCCCAGGGGGGCCUCGGCAUUCCAUCUUGCCGAUGGAUGGGUCCGACCCUCCGUCGGUCCCGUCUCCUGGCGCUGAAGAAGAUAGGGCCAGCCUGCGACGGUGCAGGCAUGGAUGAGGUGCAGCGUGAGAUCGAGGUGCUGGAGCGCCACCUAAUGUGGGAGGGUCACCUCCUCAAAUCGUCAACGCAGGUUGGGGAAAUGUGGGCGGCGCGCCUACACAUCGCCAUUGACGGUGCGGCACUGUCAUCUUCUGCCGCCGUCAGUGGCCAACAUCAGUGGGUCGCCGACACCAGUCGCCUGCUAUCUGGGCGUGAAUACAUCGACGCCCUCCGCGCCCGCAUCAACGCCUUCCCUACGAAGGCACGGCGCAGUCGCGGGCGGGAGGCGGACACCAGAUGCCGCGCGGGGUGCCAGGCCGUGGAGACCGCCAACCACGUACUUCAGGCUUGCUUUAGGACGCACGGGUCCCGGGUCAAGCGCCAUGACGCUGUAGUGCGUUAUGUCGCCCGUGGACUCGCGCAGAGGG